AGGAUAAACGCUGGCGGCGUGCCUAAUGCAUGCAAGUCGAACGGAGUAGGCCUUCGGGCAUACUGAGUGGCGGACGGGUGAGGAACACGUACGAGACCUGCCCUCGGAUGGGGAAUAAGCCCUCGAAAGGGGGUCUAAUGCCGCACACGGUCCCAAGCAGCAAGGUUUGGGAGGAAAGCUCGAGAGGGCGUCCGAGGAGGGGCGUGCGGCCGAUUAGCUAGUUGGUGGGGUAAAGGCUUACCAAGGCGACGAUCGGUAGCUGGU
rnacentral:rRNA from 1 species